CAAGAAGCUCAUCCCAGAAGAAAAGAAACCAACACCUGUUCCGAAAAAAGUGGAAGCACCACCACCCAAAGUGCCAAAGAAACGUGAACCAGUUCCAGUUCCUGUAGCUCUACCUCAGGAAGAGGAAGUUCUAUUUGAAGAAGAAAUUGUUCCUGAAGAGGAAGUUCUACCUGAGGAAGAGGAAGUUCUACCUGAGGAAGAGGAAGUUCUACCUGAAGAAGAGGAAGUUCUACCUGAAGAAGAGGAAAUUCCACCUGAGGAAGAGGAAGUUCCUCCCGAAGAAGAAUAUGUACCUGAGGAAGAAGAAUUUGUACCUGAAGAAGAAGUCCUUCCAGAAGUUAAACCUAAGGUGCCAGUACCUGCACCAGUGCCUGAAGUGCCAAAGAAACCUGUACCAGAGAAGAAAGUCCCUGUUCCCGCCCCUAAAAAAGUGGAACCUCCACCACCACCCAAAGUGCCUGAAAUUAAGAAGAAAGUGACAGAGAAGAAAGUGGUCAUUCCCAAGAAAGAGGAGGCUCCCCCUGCCAAAGUUCCUGAGGUGCCUAAGAAGGUGGAAGAAAAACGAAUCAUUCUCCCUAAAGAAGAGGAAGUUCUACCAGUUGAAGUGACUGAGGAGCCUGAAGAAGAGCCUAUUUCAGAAGAAGAAAUCCCAGAAGAACCACCUAGCAUAGAGGAAGUUGAAGAGGUGGCACCACCUAGAGUGCCUGAAGUGAUUAAGAAAGCAGUACCUGAAGCACCUACUCCUGUUCCUAAAAAAGUGGAGGCACCACCAGCUAAAGUGUCAAAGAAAAUUCCUGAGGAAAAAGUACCUGUUCCUGUUCAGAAAAAAGAGGCACCCCCAGCCAAAGUACCGGAGGUGCCUAAGAAAAUUGUGGUAGAAGAAAAAGUACGUGUUCCUGAAGAGCCCAGAGUUCCACCAACUAAAGUGCCUGAAGUGCUGCCACCGAAGGAAGUGGUCCCAGAAAAGAAAGUACCGGUGCCUCCUGCCAAAAAGCCAGAAGCUCCACCUCCUAAAGUGCCUGAGGCUCCCAAAGAAGUUGUUCCUGAAAAGAAAGUGCCAGUGCCUCCUCCUAAAAAGCCUGAAGUGCCACCCACAAAAGUCCCAGAGGUGCCAAAGGCAGCUGUCCCAGAAAAGAAGGUGCCUGAAGCUAUUCCUCCCAAACCGGAAAGUCCUCCCCCUGAAGUGCCUGAAGUGCUGCCACCGAAGGAAGUGGUCCCAGAAAAGAAAGUACCGGUGCCUCCUGCCAAAAAGCCAGAAGCUCCACCUCCUAAAGUGCCUGAGGCUCCCAAAGAAGUUGUUCCUGAAAAGAAAGUGCCAGUGCCUCCUCCUAAAAAGCCUGAAGUGCCACCCACAAAAGUCCCAGAGGUGCCAAAGGCAGCUGUCCCAGAAAAGAAGGUGCCUGAAGCUAUUCCUCCCAAACCGGAAAGUCCUCCCCCUGAAGUGCCUGAAGUGCUGCCACCGAAGGAAGUGGUCCCAGAAAAGAAAGUACCGGUGCCUCCUGCCAAAAAGCCAGAAGCUCCACCUCCUAAAGUGCCAGAGGCUCCGAAAGAAGUUGUUCCUG
rnacentral:lncRNA from 1 species